rnacentral:rRNA from 1 species
AAAAGCUCGUAGUUGGAUCUCAGUUCCAGACGGGCGGUCCGCCUACCGGAGGUUACUGCCUGUUCUGAACAGCCAGCCGGUGUUCUCUUGAUGAUCUUCACCGGUUGUCUUGRGUGACCGGCACGUUUACUUUGAAAAAAUUAGAGUGCUCAAAGCAGGCGCGACGCCUGAAUAAUGGUGCAUGGAAUAAUGGAAUAGGACCUCGGUUCUAUUUUGUUGGUUUUCGGAACACGAGGUAAUGAUUAAGAGGGACAGACGGGGGCAUUCGUAUUGCGACGCUAGAGGUGAAAUUCUUGGACCGUCGCAAGACGAACAACUGCGAAAGCAUUUGCCAAGAAUGUUUCCAUUAAUCAAGAACGAAAGUUAGAGGUUCGAAGGCGAUCAGAUACCGCCCUAGUUCUAACCAUAAACGAUGCCAGCCAGCGAUCCGGCUGUGUUCCUCAAAUGACACGCCGGGCAGCUUCCGGGAAACCAAAGCCUUUGGGUUCCGGGGGAAGUAUGGUUGCAAAGCUGAAACUUAAAGGAAUUGACGGAAGGGCACCACCAGGAAUGGAGCCUGCGGUUUAAUUUGACUCAACACGGGAAAUCUUACCCGAUCCGGACACACGAAGGAUUGACAGAUUAAGAGCUCUUUCUUGAUUAUGUGGGUUGUGGUGCAUGGCCGUUCUUAGUUGGUGGAGUGAUUUGUCUGGUUAAUUCCGAUAACGAACGAGACUCUAGCCUACUAAAUAGACGCUCCGAUCACUCAAGUYGGACGUUCUUCUUAGAGGGACAAGCGGCGUUUAGCCGCACGAGACAGAGCAAUAACAGGUCUGUGAUGCCCUUAGAUGUUCGGGGCCGCACGCGCGCUACAUUGAAGGAAUCAGCGUGUGCUUUCCCUGUCCGACAGGACUGGGUAACCCGUUGAACCUCCUUCGUGCUGGGGAUAGGGGCUUGUAAUUGUUCCCCUUGAACGAGGAAUUCCCAGUAAGCRCGAGUCAUAAGCUCGUGUUGAUUACGUCCCUGCCCUUUGUGCACACCGCCCGUCGCUACUACCGAUUGAAUGAUUUAGUGAGGUCUUCGGACUGGCGCUCGGAGCKGCUUUCGGGUCGCGCCGAAGUGCCGGAAAGAUGACCAAACUUGAUCAUUUAGAGGAAGUAAAAGUCGUAACAAGGUUUCC